rnacentral:rRNA from 1 species
UUAGAGGGACUAUCGAUUUCAAGUCGAUGGAAGUUUGAGGCAAUAACAGGUCUGUGAUGCCCUUAGACGUUCUGGGCCGCACGCGCGCUACACUGACGGAGCCAGCGAGUAUAAACCUUGGCCGAGAGGUCUGGGAAAUCUUGUGAAACUCCGUCGUGCUGGGGAUAGAGCAUUGUAAUUUUUGCUCUUCAACGAGGAAUUCCUAGUAAGCGCAAGUCAUCAGCUUGCGUUGAUUACGUCCCUGCCCUUUGUACACACCGCCCGUCGCUACUACCGAUUGAACAUUUUAGUGAGGUCCUCGGACUGUGAGCCAGGCGGGUCGCCCUGCCUGGUCUACGGGAAGACGACCAAACUGUAGUGUUUAGAGGAAGUAAAAGUCGUAACAAGGUUUCCGUAGGUGAACCUGCAGAAGGAUCA